rnacentral:rRNA from 1 species
CAGGCCUAACACAUGCAAGUCGAACGGCACCUUCGGGUGUAGUGGCGGACGGCUGAGUAACACGUGGGUGACCUGCCCUCGAGCGGGGGAUAACUGCCCGAAAGGGUGGCUAAUACCGCAGAUGUCGGUGCUUCGGUGUGCUGACUGAACUUGAGGGGCUCGGGGAGGGGCCCGCGGUCGAUUAGCUGGUUGGUGGGGUAACGGCCUACCAAGGCGACGAUCGAUAGCUGGUCUGAGAGGAUGAUCAGCCAGACUGGGACUGCGAACGGCCCAGACUCCUACGGGAGGCAGCAGUUAGGAAUUUUGGGCAAUGGGCGAAUGCCUGACCCAGCAACGCCGCGUGGGUGAUGAAGGCUCUCGGGUCGUAAAGCCCUUUUCCCAGGGACGAUGAUGACGGUACCUGGGGAAUCAGCCCCGGCUAACUACGUGCCAGCAGCCGCGGUAAU